GCCCGUCCCGCGCGCUGAAAGAAGCCUCGCCACUGCCCUGCUGUCCGCGGCGGGGCUCGGGAGCCGCUCCGCCCGCCCGCCCGCCUCGCCCGGCCUACCGUAGACACCGUCCUCCAUGGCGGCUAGGAAGGCCCGCGGGGAGUCCGGGGCGGUUCCGCCGGCUGGGCCUGCGUCCGCGUCGGCCCGCGGGCUCGAGUGAGCCCGCUCAAACGCCCCAGGAGCCACCGCCGCCUCCUCAGCGCCCGUCCUCAGCGCCGAAAAGACUCUCCCUUCACGGCCCAACCGCCCGGCCGGUGGGGCCCGCCCCUUGCUUUGACACCACCCAAUCUGCUGCGGGUCUCCCAGAAUGCUCCGCCCCCUAGCCCCACAGGAUCAUUUCCAGGACCAAUAGGCACACAAGAAGGAGAUGCAGGCACGUACAGCUGGCGAUAGACUGCUAGCCUGACCAAUCGGACUGUGGGUAGUGUGCUCGGUCCCGCCCCCGAAACAAAGGAAAAUCCUUGGCAGCUUUAUCCUCCAAUAAGAAAAUUGAUAAAGAAGUGACCAGGAGGUGUGGCUUCAUGGAGAGGGGAGAUUGCGCCUGCGCACAAGCCAGACUAGCGGGUAAUUCUCUGCAGGUCGCUAUCUCUGAACCCUUUUCAUACCUCUACAUGAGACUUUCCUACAUACCUCAAAUCUCCUCAGAAUCAAAGGAUGGUAAAUAAAAGCAUUCUUUCUUCCAAAUG
rnacentral:lncRNA from 1 species